UUUGUGUCGCUCGGUGCUGUUCCCUUCGUUGGCAGGUUUGCAGUUAUGUUCCUGUUUAUUCAAUGUGAGAACGAAUCGGAAAAGCACAUCGUCGAGCACAAUAUCAUUGUGAACUUCCACGCAAUAGACUACUACGACAAACGAAACGUUUUCGGGGCAUUUUGGAAUGCGACGAGACGACACAUGUUACACGACAGGUAAGGUGGUUUCGACAGAUCAUUUUCAAUAAGUUUUCUUACUUCUUUGUCGUAAAAACAUUCCAGAAACAAGGCAGGAUGAAUGAGCGGCGUUGAAGGAGAUGUAAAGUGGAUCACGAGCCACUUGCAGAAGAAAAAAAGGCAAGGCAGGGCAAACAAACACUGCACGAAGGCAUGCAGAAGAAGGCACUGUUUCUGUCCCUGGAUUCGGCGAAAAUCAGUGAACAAAGACAACGAGAGUUCGAAGACAUGGGACGUUUGCAGACAGAAGUGGCAACGCUGGCGCAUAUUAAUCGUAUCCUGCAAAAGGCCAUCGCUUCAAAAGUUUUUCAAAGUGGCUACAAGAGGCCCCAUACAUCCUGCUACAGUGAACAGUGC